AUUGAACGCUGGCGGCAUGCCUUACACAUGCAAGUCGAACGGUAACAGGUCUUCGGAUGCUGACGAGUGGCGAACGGGUGAGUAAUACAUCGGAACGUGCCCGAUCGUGGGGGAUAACGAGGCGAAAGCUUUGCUAAUACCGCAUACGAUCUACGGAUGAAAGCGGGGGAUCUUCGGACCUCGCGCGGACGGAGCGGCCGAUGGCAGAUUAGGUAGUUGGUGGGAUAAAAGCUUACCAAGCCGACGAUCUGUAGCUGGUCUGAGAGGAUGAUCAGCCACACUGGGACUGAGACACGGCCCAGACUCCUACGGGGGGCAGCAGUGGGGAAUUUUGGACAAUGGGCGAAAGCCUGAUCCAGCCAUGCCGCGUGCAGGAUGAAGGCCUUCGGGUUGUAAACUGCUUUUGUACGGAACGAAAAGCCUCUUUCUAAUAAAGAGGGGUCAUGACGGUACCGUAAGAAUAAGCACCGGCUAACUACGUGCCAGCAGCCGCGGUAAUACGUAGGGUGCAAGCGUUAAUCGGAAUUACUGGGCGUAAAGCGUGCGCAGGCGGUUUUGUAAGACAGAGGUGAAAUCCCCGGGCUCAACCUGGGAACUGCCUUUGUGACUGCAAGGCUGGAGUGCGGCAGAGGGGGAUGGAAUUCCGCGUGUAGCAGUGAAAUGCGUAGAUAUGCGGAGGAACACCGAUGGCGAAGGCAAUCCCCUGGGCCUGCACUGACGCUCAUGCACGAAAGCGUGGGGAGCAAACAGG
rnacentral:rRNA from 1 species